GCCUGAGAGGCUCAGUGGUUGAGCAUCUGCCUUCAGCUCAGGGCAAGAUCCUGGAGUCCUGGGAUCAAGUCCCACAUCAGGCU
rnacentral:tRNA from 1 species